rnacentral:rRNA from 1 species
AUUAGAUCACCGAAGUCAAGCAUCAUUGGGCGCGGUCAGUACUUGGGUGGAUGACCACCUGGGAACACUGCGUGCCGUUG